UACGUAGGUGGCAAGCGUUAUCCGGAAUUACUGGGCGUAAAGAGUGUGUAGGUGGUUUUAUAAGUCAGGUGUCAAAUCUACAGGCUCAACUUGUAGCUUGCAUCUGAAACUGUAAGACUUGAGGGCAGAAGAGGUAAGUGGAAUUUACGGUGUAGCGGUAAAAUGCGUAGAUAUCGUAAAGAACACCAAUGGCGAAGGCAGCUUACUGGGCUGUUCCUGACACUGAGACACGAAAGCGUGGGGAGCGAACGGG
rnacentral:rRNA from 1 species